rnacentral:rRNA from 1 species
CUUGGUCAUUUAGAGGAAGUAAAAGUCGUAACAAGGUUUCCGUAGGUGAACCUGCGGAAGGAUCAUUACAGAGUUCAUGCCCGAAAGGGUAGACCUCCCACCCUUGUGUAUUAUUACUUUGUUGCUUUGGCGAGCCGCCUUCGGGCCUUGCGUGCUCGCCAGAGGAUAUCAAAACUCUUUUUAUUAAUGUCGUCUGAGUACUAUAUAAUAGUUAAAACUUUCAACAACGGAUCUCUUGGUUCUGGCAUCGAUGAAGAACGCAGCGAAAUGCGAUAAGUAAUGUGAAUUGCAGAAUUCAGUGAAUCAUCGAAUCUUUGAACGCACAUUGCGCCCUCUGGUAUUCCGGGGGGCAUGCCUGUUCGAGCGUCAUUACACCACUCAAGCUCAGCUUGGUAUUAGGUCUCACCUGCUAAAGGCGGGCCGUAAAAUCAGUGGCGGUGCCAUCUGGCUUCAAGCUUAGUAAUUAUUCUAGUUUAGGAGUACCAGGUGUGUGCCUGCCAGCAACCCCAAUUUUUUUAAGGUUGACCUCGGAUCAGGUAGGGAUACCCGCUGAACUUAAGCAUAUCAAUAAGCGGAGGAAAAGAAACCAACAGGGAUUGCCUCAGUAACGGCGAGUGAAGCGGCAACAGCUCAAAUUUGAAAUCUGGCCUUUGGUCCGAGUUGUAAUUUGUAGAAGAUGCUUCGGGUGUGGCACCGGUCUAAGUUCAUUGGAACAUGACGUCAUAGAGGGUGAGAAUCCCGUAUGUGACUGGUUGCCUAUGCUCAUGUGAAGCUCUUUCAACGAGUCGAGUUGUUUGGGAAUGCAGCUCAAAAUGGGUGGUAUAUUUCAUCUAAAGCUAAAUAUUGGCCAGAGACCGAUAGCGCACAAGUAGAGUGAUCGAAAGAUGAAAAGCACUUUGGAAAGAGAGUUAAACAGUACGUGAAAUUGUUGAAAGGGAAGCGCUUGCAAUCAGACUUGCACGUUUUCGAUCAUCCGGUGUUCUCACCGGUGCACUCGAUUUCGUUCAGGCCAGCAUCGGUUUUGGUGGUUAGAUAAAGACCUUAGGAAUGUGGCUCUUUCGGGAGUGUUAUAGCCUGGGGUGUAAUGUAGCCUACCGGGACCGAGGACCGCGCUUCGGCUAGGAUGCUGGCGUAAUGGUUGUAAGCGACCCGUCUUGAAACACGGACC